rnacentral:lncRNA from 1 species
GCCGGCUUCAUGCAUCAGCUUGGAGGUUUUCCUUUACCCCUUCGAGGGAGGGAAACCUUCUUCCCCCCAGCUGUGGGUUGGCCUUUCUCUGUCGGGUAGAGGUGUAAAUAUGGUUUUGAUUGUCUUUGGUAGCAACAAUGCUUAGUGGAGGCUUGUUUAUAGCUAUUGGUUUCUUUGUUUUUGGUUUUUCAGAUCUGGAGGGCUUUCGCAUGUUGGGAUUCAGAGGUUCUGGUUGUGGUGGGAGUGAGGAGGUGGAUGGAGGAGCAGUAAAUCAAAGAUGUCAAGUCUGCCAUGCACCCCUUUGCUUCUUCCCACGGUCUCAGUUGUUUCUGGGGGCUCUCCAUCUCGGCCAUGUGGGGGUUUAUUGGCUCAAUUGAUGAAGAGGUUUCAUCCCUUCUGCCUCUAGCGUCAGGCGCUCACUACCAUCACUGGAUCUGCAGGUUCAUGUGGUCUCCUUGAUGUUUAGUCUGCUCGUUUUUACUUCUGAGUAACUCCGAUUGUGGUUGCUUGAGAGCGGUCGGGCUGUCCUUUAGGUUUUCAAUAUGAGAACUAUGGCUUGGGCUUCUUUUUGAGGGAGUACUCUUUCCUAUCCUCUUUCGAUCAGCAAUGCCAGCAUGAUGCUCAUCGAGGUCAAGCAGUGCAUUUUCAGAUUUCGGGUCAAGAUUCUUUAUUGAUCUAAGGUUUUGCUUUCUGUGUUCUUUUUUCUUGAUCUCUAGAAACUUAGGCUUAGUUCUGUAUUAUAGAAGUAACCUUAUUUUGUAAUUUGGGCCUGAUAGCUUUUCUAAUGAAUUUGCCCUUUUUUACAAGAAAAAAAGCUUUUACGUACCGUUUUCAUAUUUGAAAUGUAGGCUUCAACUUACUAAAUGCUGCUUCAAAAUCCG